rnacentral:rRNA from 1 species
GUCCGGGAGGACCAGCAGGUCCUUGGCUACCUGCUGAGCAAUCUCACCAAGGAAGUGCUCCUAACAGUGACCACGGUCACCGCCGCGGGCGCGCUCUGGACGACGCUUGCCGGCAUGUACUUGUCGCAAUCGGUGAGUCGCAUCAACAACAUUCGCACUUUUCUCAUCAAUGCGCAGAAGGGCAACCUCUCCAUCGCCUCCUACUUCGCCACCAUGCGUGGCUACACCGACGAGCUGGCCGCGGCGGGCAAGGCGAUCCUCGACGACGAGCUCAUCUCCUACAUCAUGCACAGGCUCGACGCUUACUACCAGCCUCUGAUCUCUGCUCUGGAUGCUCGCGUCACUCCCGUCUCCAUCGACGAGCUCUUCGCCAUGCUGUCAAACUUUGAUCAGCGGAUGGUGCACUUCCACGGCUCCAGCGGCGGCGGCUUCAAGUCCUCGGCGAACUUGGCCUCUCGUGGCUGGAGUGGCUCCUCUCGGCGCGGCAGCUUCUCCCGUGGGAGGGGGAUGUCCAGUGGAGGAGGCAAUGGCGGCGGCUCCAACUCCCGCAAUGGCGGGCGUGCUCAUGCCAACAACAGAACUCGCCGCGGUGGUGGCAAUCCUCGCGCCCGACCAGAUGCCCCCCGUUGCUAG